AGGAGAUUUGAAGUCUCCCCUGGACUACAAAAGUUCAAAACUCACUAGACUGAAAAGAAGCUGUCCAACUUGUCAUUUUACCGUCCACGUGAUUGGACCAAACGGGUACGUUACGCAACACGCAGAGACAAAAACAUCGUCAUUGGCUACCUUAUUAUAAAUACUAGAGAUGGGCCAGAGUUUUUUUAAAGUAAUUUUGUGCUUUUAUCAAGUUUAAAUGCAGGUGUUGCGUAGUUUUUUUGUUUUUUAUCUACAAUGCAUUAGAGUUCCCCGUUUUAUUUUUCCUAUGUUUGAUGUGUACGUUUUCUACAACAUUCUAAUUUAUUGAGAUCUUUAUUGAGACUUGUAACAGCAUUAAAAAAUUAAUUUCACCCUUUUAAAAAAACCAUUUGUUAAACGUUUUUUUUUUUUUUUUUAUCUAAAUUUGUUAGCCUGUCCGUAGAUUUUUCAUUCUCUGUUAGCCUAAGCUAGCAGAGUUUAAGGGCAAAUUAUUUUACAUUUAGUACAUUUGUUUUUCUUGUUGUUUUGUGUUAAAUUUGACAGUGAACUUCAACAGGUUACAACCACCAUAACCCAAAUGUCUUCUUUUUUUUGCUAAACCAAGCAAAAAGUCAGCCUAUCACAUGAUAUAUAGUAUUUAGUACUAAUUUAGUAUUGCUGCAUGGAAAUCUCAAUUAUUCUCAGACUCAAAAGGAACAGAACAACUUGCAAGUGAACUCUGCAGCCUGAGCCCCGCCUGCAUUUUUGGACUUUAAUGGUCCUUUGCGGCUGGCAGGCUGCCAAACUCCCACAUUACACAAGACCAUCCUUACAAAGCAGCGACCUGCAGUCAGCCUGUCUGUGUGUGAAUGUGCACAUGUACACUAGUCAACACGUUCAUCUGGUUUAGAUGGAGAACAAAGACACAGCUGGGUGAACUAACAUGAACAUGGACAACAGGUCAUUGACCCAGGUGAGUGCUUAUGAUGAAAAUGUUCAUGUGUGUACCUGCUCUCUCCCUCGGUCGAGCCUGUCCAUCAGCUGGUCUCCAUUCUGACGCUCCUCGUCCAAGUCCAACUCCAGCUGAGCGAUUCUGUCCUGAAGAACGUCACACCCAUUAGUAAAUGAUGUACAAUAUCUCACCAAUAUUUUACAGCACUGGGUGAUGCAAAGUGUUCUCGAUAAAUGGACGUUUAAAUGUGUGAACAAUUCAUCUGGUUUACCGCACCUCCAUGAGUUUGAACUGUCGAGUCUUAUCAUCUUUCGAGUGAGUGUUGGUCUUCACCGCUACCUCCAGUUCAUUAACUUUCUUCUCCAACAUCUUCUCAUUGAGCACAGCCUCAUCUCGCUCCUGCUCACAACGACGUAGAUCAUCCUCUCGGCGCAACAGCUAAAAGCAAGGAUGAAAGAAAAAAAAAACAAGAGAAAUCUUAAAAUUGCAUUUUUUUCUGAAAUUGUAUGUACCUAAAUGUUGAAACGCAUGAACGCAGGCCAAUAACUCCGAUUAUAUAUUGUAUAUCACGUCGUACUAUUGUGAGAAGAUGUAAAAAAAAAAAAGUCUGCUUGUAAUUUUAUCUAAAUUCUGCCAAGUUGACAUGGGCGGGGACUGUUGGGGCAUCUCAGAGCAGCUGGAAAAGCAAACUCAGGAGAGCUGAAGGAAGGAGGAUGUGAAUCCAGCCAGCACAGCUUUAACAACAAUGAUAUCACAACCUUGGAUGUCCUCCCCCUAUUUCCUGUGCAGCCGUUGGAGGAAAAAAAAAAUGUUUUACUAAUGAGGACAAAGCGCAUACUCGGACGAAAAAAAAAAUGUUUUACUAAUGAGGACAAAGCGCAUACUCGUACAUGGACCUGAGCGCGGAUCUCAAGGGUGAGCUCAAAGCUUGUGGUCAAUUAUAUUCCCUUUACGGUAUGUAGGUGGCAGUAACGUGCAUUCAAAUGGCCUCGACAACUAUCCCAAAACUGAAACUUCUUUGUUUUCCACCCAAGGUUUUCACAGUGAUAAAUAUAGCACUGUCCAGAUCCACUCUGGUUUUACCAGUUAUACUGGUCACAAGUGAAGGCAAAAAAAUGACUUCUACGUCUGUGGGGGUGAAGUGAACAACAAAAUUACAGUUUUAGAACUCAGAAUGCCUCACAUGAAAAGAUCCUGUUCCAGAUGCUCCAGCAUCGUUUGCGCUAUUUUAUCAAACUCAAAACUGGAACAGAGCGACCACUGUAAAUAUAUGCUCAAAUGCUCGCCCUUGGGUAUGUAAAUAUUUGCGUAAUACAUAAAAGAAUAGAAGGCCAGUGCCCUCCCUCUUAAAGAAUAAUUCUUCCCAUUCAUCAACUUCUGCAACGAACAAAGGCAUUCCUAACAUUCUCACGUGAGUGACGAGGAUGAAUUUGUCAUGUGCAAACAGUGCAUUGCGACAAGAGAUGUUAAGAGAUGCCACCUAUGAAGCACAAGAUGAUUUUGACGGAGUGUAUCGAGUCGAGAUGAAUCACAACGGAUGUUGUUCUGCAUUAAAGCCUUGAUUUGAGUUGUACCUCCUCUUGCAGCGUUUGGGCAGCCAGCAGGUACUUGUCGAGUUCCUGGCCUCGCUCCUUAAGGAGCUUCUGCAGCUCCGUCAGCUCCCGCCGGUUCUUUUCCUUGUAAAUGUCAAUUUGUUCCUGCAACUCCCGUGUUGACGACUGGGACGCGUCCACGAUGUCGUUCAUCUGUGGGCACAAAGAGCACAGGUCAAGUUAAGUUCACCUGUAAAGGUUCCUUGUUUCCUUCCUCGCUUCCUCCCUCGACUUAGUUUAAAAGGUGUAUUGUAUUUCUCACCCGUUCAAAAUGUUUGUGUGGAAGUGAGAAUUAGAAUUGUUUGUAUUGUUUAGAUUACGCAAUACUGUCAGCCUGAUUGAGUUGAUCUGAUAUAACGACAAAAAUGUGUUUUCUGGAAUUUGUCCAUCGGUGAGAAAAGUCAAUCAGGUGGAACAAGCGCGCAAUUCACUGAAACAGCUUCUUGAGCUUCUACAGCAUUAAGCUGUAACUUAAAUGCUGGGAGAGAAGCACAUGCCUCUUUCUGAAGUUUCUCCACCGUUCGGUCCAGCAGCCGCCUUUCGUCCUCAAUGUCAUUCUUCAUAUUCUUAAACUGCUCCUUCUGUAGCUUCUCCUCUUGAAGACGCUCCUCCAACUGCUUGUGCUCACCGAUCAUCUUGGAAAAGUUCCUCUAGCAAAGCACAUAUCAAUCACAUCAUGCGAAAGUCAGAUUUGCCUUAGAGCAACCAAAUUGAAAAUUGCUCACCUGUACAUCUUCAAGUCGUAA